UACGUAGGGUCCGAGCGUUGUCCGGAAUUACUGGGCGUAAAGCGCGCGCAGGCGGCCCGCGAGGUGUCACGUGAAAGCCCCGGGCUCAACCCGGGAGGGUCGUGGCAAACCGGCGGGCUUGAGGCCGGUAGAGGUGGGUGGAACUCCUGGUGGAGUGGUGAAAUGCGUAGAGAUCAGGAAGAACACCCGUGGCGAAGGCGGCCCACUGGGCUGGUACUGACGCUGAGGCGCGAAGGCGUGGGGAGCGAACGGG
rnacentral:rRNA from 1 species